AGUUCUGCUUCUUCAUCAAAAUCGAAGCGUCCCACGCGGAAAAAACCCGUCGCCUUCGUCUAUGUGCUCGGCUGCUUUCACAAGGGCCGUUAUAUCUCCUACGUCGGCUGGACCAAUGACGUGACGCAGCGGCUUGCGAAGCAUAACAACGGCACCGGGGCGCGUUCGACACGCGGGCGGGCCUGGACGUUGCUGCACACCGAACCGUUCCAGACGCGCAACGAAGCCAUGAGCCGCGAAUGGCAUCUCAAGCGCGACCGGGCCUUCCGGAAAAAGCUGAUGGACGCGGUGCGGGCGGGGCAGAG
rnacentral:misc_RNA from 1 species